rnacentral:rRNA from 1 species
AUGGCUCAGAUUGAACGCUGGCGGCAGGCCUAACACAUGCAAGUCGAGCGGAUGACGGGAGCUUGCUCCUUGAUUCAGCGGCGGACGGGUGAGUAAUGCCUAGGAAUCU